rnacentral:rRNA from 1 species
GGCGAAACCUCCAACUUUCAGCAUUCAAUGCACCCAAUCUUUUCAGAUAUCAGAAGCUGAGCUGGGUUGAACCUUGGUUUUGUUUGGAUGGGAGACCUCCAUUUAAAGCUAGGUUGUUAUCGGCC